GACGUAGGAGGCGGAGCGUUGUCCGGAUUCAUUGGGCGUAAAGAGCGCGCAGGCGGCUUGGUAAGUCGAUGUGAAAUCCCGAGGCUCAACCUCGGGUCUGCAUCCGAUACUGCCCGGCUAGAGGUAGGUAGGGGAGAUCGGAAUUCCUGGUGUAGCCGAUGAAAUGCGCAGAUAUCAGGAGGAACACCGGUGGCGAAGGCGGAUCUCUGGGCCUUACCUGACGCUCAGGCGCGAAAAGCUAGGGGAGCGAACUGG
rnacentral:rRNA from 1 species